GACGAACGCUGGCGGCGUGCCUAAUACAUGCAAGUCGAACGGAAAGGCCCUGCUUUUGUGGGUCGCUCGAGUGGCGAACGGGUGAGAAUAACGCGAGUAACCCCCCCCUGUCUUUGGGAUAUCUUCACGAAAAUGGGGCUCUUAUCGGAUAGGAGCUCCUGCUGCAUGGUGGGGGAUGGUAAGUUUCGGCGGUUGGGGAUGGACUCGCGGCUUAUCCGCUAGAUGGGCGGGUAGUUGCAUACCAAGGCUUUGACGGCUAGCCGGCCUUAGAGGGUGACCGGCCACAUUAGGACUGAGAUACGCACCAGACUGCUACGGGAGGCAGCAGGGGAGAGUAUUACACAGUAGGGGGGAGUGUGAUGCAGCGACGCCGCGUGCGGGAUAACGUCCUUCGAGUUAUAAACCGCUGUCGCCGGUGACGAAGCGUGAGUGACGGUAAUGGGUAAAGAAGCACCGGCUAACUACGUG
rnacentral:rRNA from 1 species